CCGCUUCCGCUCCCGGGCGGUGCCGGCGCGAUGUCGGGUUUCAGCCCUGAGCUGAUCGAUUACCUGGAGGGGAAGAUCUCCUUCGAGGAGUUCGAGCGGCGGCGAGAGGAGCGCAAGAGCCGCGAGAAGGAUGGCGAAAAUGCGUCUGCUGAGGAAAAUGCUGAAGAUGUAGAGGCUCCAUCUUCAUCCAGAAAAGCAUCUGGGAAAUCCCAAAGUCAGGAUGAAACUGAUGGAGAAACUUCAGAUGGCGUCAGUAAAUCUGUUCAUCGGGUCUUUGCAUCCAUGCUUGGGGAAAAUGAAGAGGAGGAGGAGGAUGAAGAGGAAGAAGAAGAAGAGGAAGAAGAAACUACUGAGCAACCCACAGCUGGAGAUGUUUUUGUGUUGGAGAUGGUACUUAAUCGUGAGACCAAGAAAAUGAUGAAAGAGAAAAGACCUCGCAGCAAACUUCCUCGUGCCUUAAGGGGUCUGAUGGGAGAGGCCAAUAUCAGGUUUGCUCGAGGAGAACGCGAGGAGGCUAUUCUAAUGUGCAUGGAAAUCAUUCGACAAGCUCCUCUUGCUCAUGAGCCAUUUUCCACUCUUGCCAUGAUCUAUGAAGACCAGGGUGAUAUGGAGAAGUCAUUACAGUUUGAACUGAUUGCAGCUCACUUAAAUCCUAGUGAUACUGAGGAAUGGGUUAGACUAGCAGAAAUGUCACUGGAACAGGACAAUAUUAAACAGGCUGUUUUUUGUUACACAAAAGCUCUGAAAUAUGACCCAACCAAUGUGCGUUACCUAUGGGAGAGAUCAAGCCUGUAUGAACAGUUGGGGGAACAUAAGAUGGCUAUGGAUGGCUACAGGCGUAUUUUGAAUCUCCUGUCUCCCUCUGACGGAGAGCGCUUUAUGCAGUUGGCUAGAGACAUGGCAAAGAGUUAUUAUGAAGCCAAUGAUGUGACCUCUGCUAUUGAGAUAAUAGAAGAAGCCUUUGCUAAACACCAGAGCCUUGUCUCCAUGGAAGAUGUUAACAUUGCAGCUGAACUAUAUAUUUCUUCCAAACAGUAUGACAAAGCAUUGGCGGUUAUUACAGAUUUUGCAGGAAUUGUACUUGAAAAGAAAGUAUCAGAAAAAAGUCCAACCAAGGAGAAAAAAGAUACAGAGGCAGUGGUAGAAACUCAGGAAAGCCAGGAGGCAGUGACUGACGACCAGAGUCAUCCAGUUGCUGAAUCCAAUGCUGCAGCUGUGGAGAAGGUCAGCUGCUGCAUACCUGAGGGCGUUCCCAUAGACAUCACGGUCAAGCUGAUGGUGUGCUUGGUUCACUUGAACAUCCUAGAGCCGCUCAAUCCUCUUUUGACCACUCUAGUGGAACAAAAUCCAGAAGAAAUGGGUGACUUGUAUUUGGACGUUGCAGAGGCAUUUCUGGAUGUUGGAGAAUACAACUCAGCACUGCCUCUCUUGAGUUCCCUUGUCUGUUCAGAACGAUACAACUUGGCUGUUGUCUGGCUUCGGCAUGCGGAGUGCUUGAAGGCGUUGGGACACAUGGAGCGUGCUGCAGAGAGCUAUGCCAAAGUUGUUGAUCUUGCUCCGUUGCAUCUGGAUGCAAGAAUCUCACUUUCAACACUUCAGCAGCAGCUGGGCCGACCUGAAAAAGCUCUGGAGGCUCUGGAACCAAUGUAUGAUCCAGAUACACUGGCUCAGGAUGCUAAUGCUGCCCAGCAGGAAUUAAAGCUGCUCCUCCAUCGUUCGACAUUGUUGUAUUCCCAAGGCAAAAUGUAUGGUUACAUAGACACUUUACUUACAAUGCUGGCAAUGCUGUUGAAGGUAGCAAUGAGCAGAGCUCAGGUGUGUUUGAUAUCUAGUUCCAAAUCUGGAGAGAGACACCUCUAUCUUAUUAAGGUGUCAAGGGAUAAAAUUUCUGACAAUGACGACCAAGAGACAGCAAAUUGCGAUGCGAAAGCAAUUUUUGCUGUUCUCACGAGUGUUCUGACAAAAGAUGACUGGUGGAACCUCCUCCUGAAGGCUAUAUAUUCCUUGUGUGACCUAUCCCGGUACAAGGAGGCAGAGCUACUAGUGGAUUCCUCACUGGAAUAUUAUUCAUUUUAUGAUGAUAGACAAAAGCGCAAGGAGCUGGAAUACUUUGGGCUCUCUGCUGCAAUUCUGGACAAGAACUUCAGAAAAGCGUACAACUAUAUCAGAAUCAUGGUAAUGGAAAAUGUCAAUAAACCACAGCUGUGGAACAUCUUCAAUCAAGUUACUAUGCAAUCUCAGGAUGUCCGUCACCAUCGCUUUUGUCUCCGCUUGAUGCUGAAAAAUCCUGAUAAUCAUGCAUUGUGUGUCCUAAAUGGGCAUAAUGCGUUUGUAUCUGGCAGUUUCAAACACGCUCUUGUAUGUGCAAGCCUUUCGUGCAAACCCAGAUGAACCUCUGUACAGUCUUUGUAUUGGCUUGACUUUCAUCCACAUGGCUUCUCAGAAAUAUGUGUUGAAAAGGCAUGCUCUUCUAGUACAGGGAUUCUCCUUCCUUCACCGGUACUUGGACCUGCGUGGACCAUGUCAAGAGUCUUUCUACAACCUUGGCCGUGGUCUUCACCAGCUGGGAUUACUCCACCUGGCAAUCCACUAUUACCAAAAAGUACUUGAACUUCCUCCUCUUACCUUAGAGGGAAUAGAAACUGAUCAGACAGACUUGAGAAGAGAUACUGCCUUUAACUUGUCACUUAUUUAUCAGAGCAGCGGAAAUACUAGAAUGGCUCAAAAGAUGUUGUAUACCUACACAGUUGUUUGAUGAGGUUUGUGGCAGGUGGAAUUGAUACUCUUUAUAUUAACCUUUGCAUUAUGCAGUGCUGGGGAAACUGGAUUUAUGUACUGUUUUUUUUAUAGAUGGUCAGAGACAUGACUUGUGCUGUAUAUAGCUUUAUGGACUUUUUCUACUUCUGAUGUUUGAACGGUAUCACAUAUGGAUGGAAACCACCUGUUCCGAGUACAACACUGACAUGCCCAAGUGUGUCUGUUACUGGCUCUUCUGCUUUGAUGCACUGCUCUGUAAUUUGACACUGUCUUGUAUAUAGAAUCAAACAGUGAAAACUGAAGCCCAGUGUGGUUUGUUGUUUGUUUGGUUUUUUGGGGGAAAAUUCACAAUGAUGUGCAAUAUUACAACUAGUUACCAGUGAGGUUGUUCAAGAAGCCAUAUUCACUGGUGAUGAGGGUUUUUUAAUGUGCAGAAUUAAAAUACAAUAUAGAAGAAAUGGGUUCAUACUAAUCCCUAGAGGAUGGAGAACUCAGUGUUUCAAGAUCUUUACAGUAUUCAGAAUUUUCUAGGAGUUCAUAUUCCUAGCAGCUGUUCUAUUUGAAGGAGAUCAAUUUCUGUUUUACCGAAAUCAGUGUGACCUUUGUUCUUCUGAAUUUGUUAGUAAAAAUGCUGAGGUUAAUGAUAAUGUUUACUCCUUCUCAGCAAACAUAUAUCCCACUGAAUAGCUUAUAGCAAAAAUUAAUAUAAUAAUAUCAUACACCUUGUUAUUUAACAUACAUUGCAAACAGUCUGGCUUUUUAAUUAUUUCUGACAGUUGAACAGUAGCAUAUGAUGGUGGAAGCAUGCUGCUUCCAAACCAGCAAGAGAAGCAAGAUGCAAUAUUUUAUCAUAGAGUAUAAAGUUAUAUGUAUAUAUAGAAAUGGAUAUAUGUAUGUUAUGCACUACAGAAAAAUAAGGCUGAAGAAUAUUUUUCAGCAAGGUAGUUUGCUGAAUAGAAAACAAACCAUGCUGUUGCCUCCCAAGCACUCGUUACUUAAAGUAUCACAGCUAACUACCGCUAUGUGCUUACAGCCCACUUUUAUAUGUAUUUAUGUUCUGUAAUCAUUUCACACAACUGCAAUCAGAUUAAGAAACAAGUCUGGUGGAAUUGCCUAGACUAAUUUUAAAGGUAAGGCAAUUUUAUCUCAAGUUCAACGUUAAAUUAAAAUAUGUUGUAUGUCCACUUCACUAGAGAUAGUGAGAAUACAAAGGUAAGAGACAAAUACCAAGAAAGUCUCACUAACUUGCAAAAGGACAGCAUGUUUUACUUGGAAAUAGUACCUGGCAGCACUGCCUAAAUACAAGUCCCAUGCUAAGCUUGCAGAACUAUAAAUUAAAUAACCAUUUUAGUUGUGUUAGCCUGGGGUAUUCAUAAGCUGCAGAGUAAGGGAGAGAAUGACUCCCUUACCUCCAUUUUGUUUCUCAUUCUUGGUCAUACCUCAUCACUGUUUUUGAUAUGAGAGCCAACUGUUUGCUGUGUGAACGGGAGCUGACUCACAAUGUAUGUACAAGCAUAGUACUGUUGUCAUCCCGGGGUAAAAAUUCUUCUGUUGAAGUUUUCCUUAUUCUUUAUUGGCCUUUUCACAUCUUGUAACCCCAUUGAUUUUUUUCUUUUUGCAGCAAAUGACUCCUGUCCCUUCAUAUGCAAAAAGUUUUAUCAUGUCCCAGGAAAUACAGCCCUCUGCACUGAACUAAUGCUUAGAAAACAGAAGCCAGAGAUCCAGUACACAGAUUCUCUGUGCAUUAUUCUUUUCCAAAACUGAGUCUGAAAUACUCAGAAUCCUAUUGCUUGUACCUUAACAGAACUGGUAACAGUUUCAAACACACUACAUAUAUUGUCAAACUACUUGGUUUAACCAUGAUAAUUUUUAUAGCUGUUUAUUGCUGAAGAAAGAGCUAUUUUAUAUAAAACACUAACUCAAGCCAUACUUAAAAGACUGCUUAUAAAAGCAUCUACUGAUUUGUCUUAAAAACUGAAUCAUACCUUUACAGUUGUUCUUACAUGAUACCACCAUUGACAUGUGUAGAAAGCAGUUUGCCAUCCACAUUUGCUGAAGGCCAGACUGACAGGAAAAAACCCAAACAAACAACCACCUUUUCACUGCUUAGAAAAUUCAUUUUAAAUGCUGCAAAUAUUACUAUAACUAAGAGGCUUAGCAGCUACCAAGCCCAGGGAAAGGCUAGCAAUGUGGACCUCAAUAAUUGAUCCUGCAGGUGGCAGCAGUGUUAGGUUAAUACAACUUUAUUGAAAUGACUGUGUUUAAAGAAAAUAAAAAGUCCUUGUCUAGUGUGUACUUGUGAUGUUUCACAUGGGUGAGCUGCCACUCACCAUGCUGUGGUUCACAUUGCAGAGCAGGCUCUGAGCAGACAAACUAGUUUCCUUUCAAAUGAAAGCAAUUAGAAGAUGGCUUCCAGAAGUGUUGCACUUGCUAGUGAGCAUUCACUCAGCAGGAUCAGACUAGAGCAACUCUGAAGUAAAAACCAAUGCAAAACACAUCCUGGACAUCUGGACCAGCUUUUUCAUUCUGCAUGUGACCCACUGAGCUGCAUCACUUGACUGAAACAGGUAUAGCCAAAAGUUAACGUAGUGCUAAAGUUAAAAGGUACUGGCAGGCAGUAAUCCCUUCACAAUUACACCAUGUAUCUUACUGCUUUCCACCCUAAACCCCAAACAGGCUUAGAAGAAGCAACAGGAUUUGUUGAACCUGGACUAGACUGUCACUACGCAAACAAAAGUACCAAGUUUAAUGGCUGCAGCCAUAUAAUCAGAGCCUGCAUUUCAAUAUACAAAGUAACUGCAGAUGCAUGGCCCUAGAGAGAGCAGGGGAUUCUGGAACAAGGAAGGGGUGAAGAACCAGCCCUUGCGGUAUAGUGUAUGUUGGUAAAACAACUCCCGCAGAGGGAAAACAGAGGGGUGAUUGGUGCUGUUGCCCUGCCAACAUGCAGUUCAUACAAAUGCAGCUGCCAUAUGCUUUGUCCUUUUGCACAGGCAAAGGUCACAAUCAUUUGUCCCUUGUUAGGCAACCUACUUAAGCAUUCAAUCUAAACAAAAGUGUUAAAGGGUAAGUGCUAUUUGAGACGACUGUUUUUCAGCUGUGAUUACUCUACAGAGUUCAUAGCAAGCAAAACUAGAUUACAGUUUUGACUGCUGUGUGCCUGAGGGCACUGUGGAGGCAGAGAGGCACAGGUUAUGCUAAGCCACCCAAGCAGCUUUACCGAGCAGGUGUGGCAUAGAUGCCAGUCGAUUUCUGAAGGAACCAGCUUGACUGGGACAAACCUAAAGCCAUAUUGUAUAGGCCUGCUUUUAAGCAGCACAAUUUAAUUAUUAAACUCAGGUGUGCAUUAGCUUUAAUAGUGUGUUUAGCCACCCCUUGUUCCUUAGAAUAGCCAUUUGCUUCAAGGAGAGGCUUAGGUCACCAUGGAUUAGUCCAGAGUCCUAGUAUGUAAGUUAUAGUUGAGGACCAAAUUUCUGGAGGAGCAGAAUGAGCUAAUUCCAGUGUGUCCUCAGGCUGCGCCUAGGCUCCAGAGGUAUGCAGGACUUCCCUCCCCACUAAACUAAACAAGUAUUGCAAAUAGCAUGUAUAGAUACCAUUGAUCACAGAGGAGUUUGCAAACAGCUCUGUUGAAGCAGAUUAAAGUGCAACAACACAUGUACUGAAGCUAGGUUGUAUUGAUACCACAUGGAAGAGUAAGCCAUGACAAAGAUGAGCUGAUCCUUAGUUGAACAAGCAUGAAACUGUCCAUGUUACAAUCAUCUUCAACAUACUGUAAGUCAUCUGCUUCAACUACUCUUUCCCCAGUGUGUUGUUCCACAGUAGAACACAUUGAACACAUUCCACUAAUUCUUAUGAAGGUAAGAUGAUGUGUGGUAUAACAUCACAUACUUCAUGAAUUCCUUAUAUACUCCUAAAAUAGCCCAAGGCUGAUAUUCUCUCAUGACCCAGGUAUCAUCAGCCAUUAGAAGCAGCCAGUCCUGCAAGUUCCUCCCUGUCCCAGUCACGUCAGCAUUGAGCCACAGACAUAUGACUCAGUCUUCAGUAAUUCACCUGAACCCUCUGCAAAUCAGUCUGAGAUUUGUUUUGAUAGCACCUGCCAGGCCUUAGCCUAAAGCUGGUAAAAGAAAAGUGACAAAAGCAAAGAUGCAGCAUAUCAACAGCAUAUAGUUUACAGUAAUGAUAAAGAAUAAUUGUUUUGCUAUAAAUAGUAGUUUUGUAAAUACUAAUCUCACAAUGCAAAGCACCUGAGUCAAAAAGACAAGGUGAGAGGUAUUAGUUAAUUCAAAUCAGAGUUUAUGAUUUAAACAAGCAUUCCUGUGUCCCCUAUAUAUGGGUGCCCCAUGAGCACCUUUAAUUUGCAAGACCUUCUUAGCGAUACAGACCUAUCUAACUAUAUCAGAUCAAGUAAAGUUCCCGAUCCUUCCAGCACCUGGGUACUAGCAGGUAGUGUCCUGGCAGCAAGCGAAGCUCUCC